UAGGGAAUAUUGGUCAAUGGGCGAGAGCCUGAACCAGCCAUGCCGCGUGCAGGAAGACGGCCUUCUGGGUUGUAAACUGCUUUUAUACAGGACUAAAAUGGUCCUGCGGGACAGAUUGCAUGUACUGUAUGGAUAAACACCGGCUAACUCCGUGCCAGCAGCCGCGGUAAUACGGAGGGUGCAAGCGUUGUCCGGAUUUAUUGGGUUUAAAGGGUGCGUAGGCGGGUAUUUAAGUCAGUGGUGAAAUCCCUGAGCUCAACUGAGGAACUGCCAUUGAUACUGGAUAUCUUGAUUACCGUACAGGUAGGCGGAAUUUAUGGUGUAGCGGUGAAAUGCAUAGAUACCAUAAAGAACACCGAUAGCGUAGGCAGCUUACUGGAGGGUAAAUGACGCUGAUGCACGAAAGCGUGGGUAGCGAACGGGAUUAGAUACCCCCGUAGUCC
rnacentral:rRNA from 1 species